rnacentral:rRNA from 1 species
AACGAACGCUGGCGGCAUGCCUAACACAUGCAAGUCGAACGAGACCUUCGGGUCUAGUGGCGCACGGGUGCGUAACGCGUGGGAACCUGCCCUUAGGUUCGGAAUAACUCCCCGAAAGGGGUGCUAAUACCGGAUAAUGUCUUCGGACCAAAGAUUUAUCGCCUUUGGAUGGGCCCGCGUUGGAUUAGCUAGUUGGUAGGGUAAAAGCCUACCAAGGCGACGAUCCAUAGCUGGUCUGAGAGGAUGAUCAGCCACACUGGGACUGAGACACGGCCCAGACUCCUACGGGAGGCAGCAGUGGGGAAUAUUGGACAAUGGGCGAAAGCCUGAUCCAGCAAUGCCGCGUGAGUGAUGAAGGCCUUAGGGUUGUAAAGCUCUUUUACCCGGGAUGAUAAUGACUGUACCGGGAGAAUAAGCUCCGGCUAACUCCGUG